UGCGAACGGGUGAGUAACGCGUAGGUAACCUGCCUGGUAACGGGGGAUAACUAUUGGAAACGAUAGCUAAUACCGCAUGACAUUGAUUAUCGCAUGAUAAUUAAUUGAAAGAUGCAAUUGCAUCACUACCAGAUGGACCUGCGUUGUAUUAGCUAGUUGGUGAGGUAACGGCUCACCAAGGCGACGAUACAUAGCCGACCUGAGAGGGUGAUCGGCCACACUGGGACUGAGACACGGCCCAGACUCCUACGGGAGGCAGCAGUAGGGAAUCUUCGGCAAUGGGGGGAACCCUGACCGAGCAACGCCGCGUGAGUGAAGAAGGUUUUCGGAUCGUAAAGCUCUGUUGUAAGAGAAGAACGGGUGUGAGAGUGGAAAGUUCACACUGUGACGGUAUCUUACCAGAAAGGGACGGCUAACUACGUGCCAGCAGCCGCGGUAAUACGUAGGUCCCGAGCGUUGUCCGGAUUUAUUGGGCGUAAAGCGAGCGCAGGCGGUUAGAUAAGUCUGAAGUUAAAGGCUGUGGCUUAACCAUAGUAUGCUUUGGAAACUGUUUAACUUGAGUGCAGAAGGGGAGAGUGGAAUUCCAUGUGUAGCGGUGAAAUGCGUAGAUAUAUGGAGGAACACCGGUGGCGAAAGCGGCUCUCUGGUCUGUAACUGA
rnacentral:rRNA from 1 species